ACCACCUACCAUCUUCUCCCCUUAAAAGUUAUGGCCCCUUCACCCUCUCACUUCAUCAUCUUCAACCUCCUUCUUCUUCCAUAAUUCUGUCAAGAACUCAUCAAUUUCUUAAAGGAAAAUCCUUUAUAAGUUAGCUCUUCGAUUUUUGGUAAGUCCUUUCGUGAUCUACUAGUGAUUCUACAUACUUCUAUACAAGUUUCAAUCCAUUUACACACAUUUCAUAUUUUACUAUUCAUAGAAUCUUCAAAAUUUCAAAGUGUUCUUGACUUGAACUUUCCAUCACCAACCUUCCUUCAUUAAGCAAAACACCCAAAGGUGAGUUCAUACCCCUCAUUUUUUAUUCAUAGAAACGUUGUGGUCUAUUCACGAGCUGUUUUACCCUUAUUAAACUUAAUAUAUUUCAAACAAUACAAUAUUAAAAUAGCUCAGGUCUAUACCUUUUUAAGGACUACUUGUACAUGUUCAUAUGAUUUUUCUACAAUUUAUGGUGAUUUUUACAAAAUUGCUUAUCAUUUCAGAAUAUUUUUGUACCAGUCUGUGAAAAUGAACAUUGUUACUCUGGUUAGGAACCACUUAAGAUCAGAGUAAAAAUUAUGGACAAAGUAGACUCAUUUUCUUAGCUCUAAGAGUUUACGGAUCCAAAUUUCGACUUACGAUGAUUUUUCUAUAAUUUUUCUAAAAACAUGGACAGAAAAGUCAAAAACUAGAAAAAUGGACAUUUUCAUACUAAAGACUCACUUAUUUGUGGUUGAUAUAAAAUAAUUAUUAUUUAUGAAUAUCUAAGCCU
rnacentral:lncRNA from 1 species